rnacentral:rRNA from 1 species
AACGAACGCUGGCGGCAUGCCUAACACAUGCAAGUCGAACGAGACCUUCGGGUCUAGUGGCGCACGGGUGCGUAACGCGUGGGAACCUGCCCUUAGGUUCGGAAUAACUCCCCGAAAGGGGUGCUAAUACCGGAUAAUGUCUUCGGACCAAAGAUUUAUCGCCUUUGGAUGGGCCCGCGUUGGAUUAGCUAGUUGGUAGGGUAAAAGCCUACCAAGGCGACGAUCCAUAGCUGGUCUGAGAGGAUGAUCAGCCACACUGGGACUGAGACACGGCCCAGACUCCUACGGGAGGCAGCAGUGGGGAAUAUUGGACAAUGGGCGAAAGCCUGAUCCAGCAAUGCCGCGUGAGUGAUGAAGGCCGUAGGGGUGUAAAGCUCUUUUACCCGGGAUGAUAAUGACAGUACCGGGAGAAGAAGCUCCGGCUAACUCCGUG